rnacentral:rRNA from 1 species
CAGUAGCCGCGGGAAUACGGAGGGAGCUAGCGUUGCUCGGAAUUACUGGGCGUAAAGGGAGCGUAGGCGGACAUUUAAGUCAGGGGUGAAAUCCCAGAGCUCAACUCUGGAACUGCCUUUGAUACUGGGUGUCUUGAGUGUGAUAGAGGUAUGUGGAACUCCGAGUGUAGAGGUGAAAUUCGUAGAUAUUCGGAAGAACACCAGUGGCGAAGGCGACAUACUGGAUCAUUACUGACGCUGAGGCUCGAAAGCGUGGGGAGCAAACAGGAUUAGAUACCCCAGUAGUCCCUGUCUCUUAUAC